rnacentral:tRNA from 1 species
GUGCCUGGUGAGAGCGACGCAAGCGGCACUCUGUAAAUCAGCCGCGCAAGCUUCGGAGGUUCGAAUCCUCCACCUGGCACACCA